AUCGCAAAACUUUAAUUGCAGGCAAAAGAUUUUGAUCCAGAUUCCUUAAGGGGUGUAUUACCUAAAGCUGUUUCAUUGCUAGAGUGGGCAAUUUCAGAAGGAAAAGGAAGAGUGUACGUACAUUGCACUGCUGGAUUGGGAAGGGCUCCUGCUGUUUCAAUUGCUUAUAUGUUCUGGUUCUGUGGAAUGGAUCUAAAUACCGCCUAUGAUACACUCACAUCAAAGAGACCCUGUGGGCCCAACAAAAGGUCGAUAAGAGCAGCUACUUAUGAUUUGGC